rnacentral:rRNA from 1 species
UACGUAGGGUGCAAGCAUUAAUCGGAAUUAUUGGGCGUAAAGGGCGCGUAGGCGGGAAUGUAAGUCAGACGUGAAAUCCCGGGGCUCAACCCCGGAACUGCAUUUGAAACUGCAUUUCUAGAGGAUAGGAGGAGAAAACGGAAUUCCACAAGUAGCGGUGAAAUGCGUAGAUAUGUGGAAGAACACCCGUGGCGAAAGCGGUUUUCUAUCUUAGACCUGACGCUGAGGCGCGAAAGCAAGGGGAGCAAACAGG